ensembl:lincRNA 1700010L04Rik RIKEN cDNA 1700010L04 gene
AUUGGUUCACUUUAGCCUAUUAUUGGUUGUGCUCUACCUGGGCAUUUGCUCACAUCUCCAACAGGCCCAGGUAGAGAGUUUAUAUGUAACUUACUAUUGUGUUCCAAGGCUAGCUCCAUUGAGUGCAGUAUAAAAGAGCCUCACAUUUCACAAAAGUGGAAACUAAGACACAAAGGUUAAAGAGCUCCCAAAAUAACACAGAGAAAGAGAAGUGGAGGUUUCUCAGUUGGCAGGGGAAGGAAGUGGGUGAGUCUGGAUCAGGUUAAGGAAAAGGAGUGGACAGAGCCCCAAGAUCCUGGUGAGAGAUGAAGGAAGUGUGUGUGCAUACGUGUAGCACAGAGGGAGAUACAUGUCAGGGCAAGCAUCAUUUCCACCAGUCUUAACCCCAUAAAAACUAUCAAGUGAAAAUAAUUUAAAACAAGGACACUCAGGAUGGAGUCCCAUGUGUGAGCAGUGUGAUGUCACUCGAGAUGGAGUUCCACUCGUGAGUAGUGUGAUAUACUGGUGCAAGUUGAGGUCCUCAUAACUGGUGUUCGAGUCCUUUCUGGGGGAGCUUGGAGCCUAGCGAUAUUUUAGAAGAAUGAAAUCACUUGAAACAAGUCCCCUUCAGACUUACCUUCCUGAUUCUACAAAUGAGUACAUGGAGAUACCCUUGGAAGAUCUACAUGAAUUUAAUAUUAGUAGCUGUCUGAUGUUUCAUUCAACUGGCUAUGGCCGCAAGGAGCUGGAACCAAUCCAAUUGUUCCUGGCCUUCUGCAGCCUCAGGUACCCCAGGAUUCUUAUUAGUGAUGCAUGUCACCACUUGAAUCAACAAGUGUCACUUCUGUUAUCAGCAAAGCCUAUUGCUCCAAGGUCCUGCUUCACAGAAAGAGAAACCACACGGUCAAGGCCACAGCUUCUAGAUGAGACAUCUGAAGCCCAGGAACCAAAUGAGCCGCUGAGAGUCAACUCGUGAAAGACACCCCCCUUAAUGCUGCCACUGUCUACCAACUAAGUGAUAUUAAACUUUAGAAGUCG